UACAGAGGGGGCAAGCGUUGUUCGGAAUUACUGGGCGUAAAGGGCGCGUAGGCGGCCUUCUAAGUCGAACGUGAAAUCCCUGGGCUCAACCCAGGAACUGCGUCCGAUACUGGAAGGCUUGAAUCCGGGAGAGGGAUGCGGAAUUCCAGGUGUAGCGGUGAAAUGCGUAGAUAUCUGGAGGAACACCGGUGGCGAAGGCGGCGUUCUGGACUGUAUCUGACACUGAGGAACGAAAGCCAGGGGAGCAAACGGG
rnacentral:rRNA from 1 species